rnacentral:tRNA from 1 species
GUUUCUGUAGUGUAGUGGUUAUCACGUUCGCUUUACACGCGAAAGGUCCCUGGUUCGAAACCGGGCAGAAAGCA